CUUGAAAGGAACUGCAUGACAUUGCUCUUAAGCAACAAUCUUGAUGAAAUAGAUGAUGAUGAAAAGACCCAACCAGUGGACAAGGUUGAAGUUGAUCUGGCACUUUCAGCCCAUGCAAAUGCUCGGCGGUGGUAUGAAAUGAAGAAAAAACAAGAAAACAAGCAAGAGAAGACUGUAACUGCUCAUGAAAAAGCAUUCAAGG
rnacentral:misc_RNA from 1 species